CCACGAGGGGGCGGGGCCAAGAUGGCGCCGAGCGCCGGGUGAGCAGCGUCUCGGCUGCGGCAAGAGUUUUCCUGCUCCCCGCGCUCGGCUGGCGGGGGCGGGUCUGAGUGGUACCCCGGAGGAGACCCUUUGAAGGUCCCUUGUGGGGACUGGAAAGAGGACGGGUUUCCGUCUGUUACCCAGGCUGUUGUGCAGUGGCACCAUCUUGGCUCACUGCAGCCUCUAACUCCUCAGUUCAAGCGAUCCUCCCGCCUCAGCCUCCUAAGUAGCUGGGAUGACAGGUUCACACCACCACGUCCGUCUAAUUUUUUAAUUUUUGCAGAAAUGGGGGUUUCACUAUGUUAACCAGGCUGUCUCAAACUCCUGGCCUCAAACAAUCCCCCCACCUCUGCCUUCCAAAGUGCUGGGAUUACUGGGGGUCUCCGUCUCUCCACCGGGGGCUUCAUCCUUCCAGGGA
rnacentral:sRNA from 1 species